ensembl:lncRNA
UUCUCUCUGAAAUUAAGAUCAUGCAUAAACAUUUCAUAAAUUUACAAAACUGCAAAUCAUAAAAUGAUAGUUUUUGCCAGAGCUUUGAAAUGUUGCAGUUAAGACUUACAUGUGUUGCUAUGAUUUCUAAUAAGAAAAGAGAAAGAUCACAGUAAUUGCUGCUGAUGUCAGAAGAUGCUGGGAACCUACUGUCCAUGGCACAUCUGGAAUUUAUUGGUGCUUUUAUCACAGAAAUGCUGGCAAAUAAUGUAACACAGCUAUUCAAACUUCUUUUUACUAUAUUGCUGUAGCAAAAUAACACAGGAAUUUGUUUAAGAUUGUUCAAGAACUUAUUUAAGUGUAGGUGAUUGCAAAGCAUAGCUAGUAAAGAAUUUCAGCUGCCCCUCAGCCAAUCUGCUAACCUAAGAUUUUCUGUUUUCUACCAGAAGAAAUGCUAGUUCCCCAAUUCCCUGCUUCUUCCAGAUGUGUUGUCAAUUUCUGUCCGUAAUACAAAAGGUACUUUCAAAAUUCAAAUUCCAUCACAUCACCAGUUUGCCUGUGGAAUUACUUUAUAUCAAAUAUGUUUUCCUUUACAACUGGAAUUUGAAAUGGUCCUCAGAUUUAUGAGGAAACAGGUGGUAAGGCAACAACUUUUUAUUCAUUCUUUCCCGAUUUCAUAGUUGGUACCAACUUCAAAAAGAAUAUUUAAAAAUUAUAUUAUUUCAUACUGAUCAUUUGCUUUUAACAAAACACAGCUGAUAUGUGUUGGCUGUUGUUAGCAUCACAUUAUACCCAUGACAGGGGAAGAGAAUGACUUAGCUUGUCAGAGUUCGUGAUGCGUUAGACUUAGAUAUAUGCUAUAAGUUGUCAGAGCACUAGUAAAACAGUAAUGGCAAUUUUCCAGUACUAAAUGAAGUUGUUUCUAAGCAUUUAAUCUGCUUGUUCGCUUUUGCAUAAAUUCAGAGAGAACUCCAAUUUCGUUUUUAAUCUACCUGAAGUGGUUUACCAAAAUAUAUGUCUGUAUGUAGUCUUGUGAACAGCCAAUGCUGGGGACAAGGGCUGUUUUUUUUUUGGUUGGUUGGUUUUUGUUUUUUGUUUUUAAACAUCUAUGUACAAUUAAUAAUGACUGAAACAUCCUAUACUAACUUGUAAUACAGAUAAGUUAGUCAUCUGAGUACAAAAAUUAAAUGUGAAACAGAUGCAUUUAGAUUUUAAAGUGAUGCCAGGAUGACACCAAUACAGUACAAGGACACUGUAGGGACAGCUGUUACAUAUGCUGGGUUGCAGCUGCAAAUGUGAUGUACCUUUCUGAAAGUAAUUCAGAAUUGCCAUAAAUCCUUUGCUAAUAAGUUUCUCUGAGGCUUCAAAAGGGUAAUGACUGGAUUUUUGAAAUAACAAGAGAUACUUAACUGACAGGGUAUAACAUCAAACACACUGGAAGCGAGAUUUAUACUGAAUGGUCACUCUUAAAAACAUAUCAUUUAUCAUUGUCUUGGUCACCAAGUUAUCACAUUUCUUCUGUAUCGUUUAUUUUUAGGAAAAAAGAGUACUGUAAUAAUUGUAUUUGGUGAUUGAAGAUAGGCCCAGACAGUAAUUCCUUUGAAAAAGAACAUCGAACAGACAAGAAAAAAAGGAUAAAACUGUUUACCUGUUACUUUUUUUUUUUUUUUUUUUUUUUUUUAAGAUUUUAUAACACUAAGCAAUGCAGACUUGCGUAUCUAAUUUUAGCAUUUGUGGUACUGCUUAAAUAUCUUACUGAAUGUGGCACGUCAUAUUUAACAUCUAUUUAAUCUAUCAUUAGAUUAAAUUAAGUUAGUUUAAAUCUAAUCUCCCUCAAAAAAUAUAAUGCUUCUCAUAUUCUUCCUCCUUAUUUACAUAUGUUUGCUUGUUUUUUGUUUGCUUGCAUAUGCAAACCCUACUUCUUUUUUUCAUGUUAGCUUAAAUACUUGCCUGUGAAAUCUGUUCUUUUUUCUUCUAACUUGUUUUGUUUGUGGAGGUUUUGCAUGUCAGUCAUUGCAAAAAGAACCAGUGAAAUUUCAUCAUCUAAAAUAAGAUUCUGAGAGUCUCUCAAAGGACUAACUUAAUGCUAUAAUAUUUCAUCAGGAAAAUUGUAACCAAAAUAGAUUAAUUUUAAAAGUGCACCAAAGGGAAUUUGCAAAGUAUAUCGAUCAAUAGGAAAUAAGGUUUGUUUAUUCCCCUGUGGGUGCUGCUUCAUUUGUAGUGUUGUUAUCAUAGAUGGUUUAUUGCUCAUGUGAACAGAAAAUGAAAGGAACGGAAAUUUUACAAAGAGAAGGAUCUGAAUUAAGGAUGAACAACAUGAUGGUUUACUGUCAAAAUGUGAGAGUUAGGGGUACGCUUGUAACAACCUGUAAAUUUCUGAGGUCUCGGGAUAAUAUUUGCUCUGUACUUUUGGUUAUGGAGAUUUUCUCCCUUUCAUUUUUAAAGUAAUCCUAAAAGCCCAUCCAAAGUAUAUCUCAUUGCAAAGAAAAUGAGUGUCCAUUUCUGACUUUUGCAAGCAUUGUGUUUGUUUGGUCUACAAUUUUGCAUGUGAACUUCAUUUCCUCAAGCCCACUUAAAUAUCACUCUUCCUAAAUCUCCAUAGAAGACUGUACAGAAGCAUAGCACCUCUUUUGUGGCAGAUUUUUUAUUUAUUUUGACUAAGUAGAACAUAGCGUACAUUUGAGUGACUCCAGAAAGUAUAUUAAGAACCCUACGUUUUUACCCAAACACGAGAUAGUAAUUUGUAUGCAGCAAUUGAAAUAAAAUGUAUAUCUUUACAAGAACAGGACUUUAUGAGUGCUACAAUGAAGAGAUUUGGAAAUGUGGCCUUUUAAUAAAAUGUAGCCGCUAUGAUCACAUUGAAAAGGAAAGGAGAAAGUGACACACCCUAGUCACAGCCUACUGCUGUGACAUAUCACUCCAUGGAAUGCUGUUAAAGACAGAAAAAAAAAAAAGACAACAAAGAGGUGUAGUUAAAUAUUUACUAUCUGAACCUUGUAAAGGACUCAGUCACACAACAUCUUCCAAUGCCCUGGAUGUCUUACUUUAGGAAGAGCUGGGUUCCUUGGAACUGAACUAUAAUUCUUCCUUGAAAAAGGCAAUGUUUAAGGGUCAAGAGACUAAAAGAGAGGCACAGAACUGCAUUUAUCUAGACUGUUGAAAGAUUAAUGAAAAACAAGAAGAAAAAAAAAAAGCCAUCAAAUAUAUCAUAUGGCCAAUAAAAUAAAAUAAAAUAAAUUAAAAAAAAGACAAAAGCUGAAAAGUCUCAACUGUGCAUAAAGAAGAGAUGGAAAAAACAUUUAGCAGAAAGUUUAGACUGCUAAAUUCAUUCUGAAUCUGAUUACAGAGAAGCUUGUUCAACACGAAUGUGGAAAAGCGAGAUUGGACAACCCUAAACAUUCAGUAAACAUCAUUUUAUUUUAAACAUUAUUUCAAUUAGGAUUGUCAAAUAUGAGAAGAAAUAAUCUAAUUAGUAACAUUCUAUAGAUUUGUUUUUUUACAUUAGAAAUUUUUGUAUAUGUAUGGAGGUCCAGUCCUCAAGAUGCCAAACAUCUUUUAUUUGUAUGAAGACCAAAAUACAAGAAAUAUUCAGCAUUCACAAUUACGUGCUUAGAUAGAUAGACAGGCAGACAGACAAGCAGAUAAUGCAUGUGAAAGAUAUAAGAUGGUCACAUCUUGGUACAAAUUCAAUAAAUGCAGUUCCCAUACAUUUCUUGCCAGAUGCACAGGGACUUCCAAUAUUUGUGCCCAGAUUUUCAAAAGUAAUGACAUAAUAUAUCAGGAUCUGUUUGUGGACAUGCUAAGAAUGCUAUAUAGCUCUUCAAACAUUUACCAAUUAUGUGAACGUACAUAACCCAGGGAGUUUUACAAGCAUAUCUGCCAUACUUGUAUAUCAGUUGCACAAUCUGUUAUAGUUAAUGCAGAUUCACACUCAAUUACCUUGCCUUCUAGGUUGAACUAAAACUCUUUUUUUUUUUUUCUUUUUUUUCCUACGCACUAACAAGGUGAUUACGUCUGCAAUAGAAAAGAUAACGCACACUAGCCCUGUAGCAGUAGCUCUUCUUCUUUGGAUGGAGUAGGAACAUCCUCCUUAGAUGACACAAAAUAAGAUCAACGACAAAAUGGCUUAGCUUCUGUUAUGACAGCAUCUAUUCUAAAUGUGCUGAACCUGUCUUUGCUUUCUUCUUCUCCAAGGAAGUGAGAAAUUGGAAUAAGCAGUGUGACAGGUAACAGUUAAGUUUGUUAGUCAAAUUGAAACUCAGUGGUGCUUUCUCGGGUGUCCAGGAAUGUGAAUAGUGUUGUGGAAUGUGGAUGGUGUUGUAAGUGACAGAGAUUGAGGGGCUGCAGGCCCGGGGCACACAGGCUGCUGGAGAAUAGCCAAGGAGUGAUGGAGAAGACUGCUGACUUUCACCCCCACAACCAUUGGCGGGGUCAGGAGGAUGAAUCCCCCAGCAACAACCUGCGCAGCUGCAAGAAUGACUGGAAUGUAUGCAGGAGAUAAGAAUUUUAUACGUGCAGGAAUGACUGGACUGUAUACAGGAGAUAAGAAUAGUAUAAAUACAGAGCCAAUCCUUUGUUCAAGUUGGGAACCUGGUGGAGUGCGGACUCCCCUCGGCCGCCCAGCGCUGUUUUGCUCACUUUACCGCCUUGCUUAAUUGAAUAAAGCGAUCCCUUUAUCACACUAGACUUUGUCUGGUUUUGUCACGAGAAUCUAUAACAAGCAGAUUCUUAACAUUAUUCUUUUACCGGAUCUGUGUGUGAGGUAGAGAAAAAAUAAAAAUUAUCUGAGGAAUGAUAACCACUAACUAGUGAUAGUAAACUGGAUCAUGAAAAUUUACGAGCGGUUCCUUUAGAUCAGACAGAACCAUUUUGCCAGUAUCUCAUCUCAAAACACAGUUAAAAGUGGAAGACUUAGAAGUAAAAUUUGUAUGAAAUUCUCCCACAAAUAUUGUACCAGAGUUCUGUUAUUUGCUGUAUUUCAGAGGAACAUAUCAAUUUAAACUUCUCCAGGUUCCCAUGGGUCCUUGUAAUCUCUCAGUAUCCACCUCGUCUUGCUGCAAAGGCCUCCACAGCAUAAAUAACUUUUUUACUUACGUACAUUGUUACUUACAUCUAACAUUGAGGAAAACACCUUCAGAAUUCAAUUCCCUCCAAAAGAGGAUACUUGCAAUUGGCAAAUAUCCCUUGAGGCAUAUUACUGUGAAAAAGGCGCGUAGUGAGGAAAUAUAAAGAGCAUGGGUUUCUUGUGCGAUGUUAGCAAUUCUGUGGAACAGUAGUUGGUCUGUUGCUAUGUCUAAGUGUUAUUUACCGCAUUUCACCAUGGUGAUUGUGAGUGUCCCAGACUGGUUUGGUUUGCCUUGGGUGUUAAGGAAACUUAUUUGAGAGAAGGGAAAACAAACUGCUGUGCUUUCUAUUGUGUGCACAUACAGUAUGGACAUAGCGUUUGCAACACGAAUAAACAUCUUUAUCUGUCUACAGCUCCAGGGACUUGUGAUCACAGAAGUUACUGACCUUCAGAUUUGAGAAAAUUGCUUAUUAAACCAGAAUACAAAGGAUAUAUUAACAGGAAAAACAAAUAAAACAUUUGCUUGACCAUGCUUACCCUUUAUCAUGUUAUUUGUUGCUGAAGUGCUUUCAGAUUCAGGUCAUUUCAUCUAAAAUGUACUAAAUUCAUAUAACAUAAGAGGUCAUUCCCAACCUAAUUUUCUCUGAUGUAUGGGUGUAUGGAUAAGUUUGUAGCAGUUUUCCCAUGGUCAGGUCUGUUUUGAAGCAGCAGAGACUUCUGGUAAGGGAAUAGAGAGGAACACCAGUUUUGAUUAAAACAAAAAACAAAAACAAAAAAAAACACCCACACAUCUGUAUUCCCAGUCAGUCCAACACAUUUUGGUCAACUGUCUAUCUACCUGUUACGUGUUAUGAUGCUUUUAAACGCUAUACAGCUCAAUCUUGCACAAAGACAGAAACUAUGCUUUUCUGCAUUGCUGCGUUUUUUCUUUUUUUUCUUUCUGUUUGCUCUCUAAAUAAAAGUAAUCUCAGGAAUCAUCAGUAAAUGUGGCAUCAUUCAAGUCAAAUAAGAAGCUUUUUAAAAAAGUUGUAAACAAAUUACCAUGAGAACCAAGAUAUACCUAUACUAUCUCCUGCAGUGUUUAUAUGUAGUAGUCAACUAAUUUUGUAGAAUUUACAGCUCUAUCAGUGCCAUCCUGUAGUAGAGUGAAUUAUCACAAAACUCAAUACUUGAUUUAAAUUUAUCUUUACAAAGCAUUAUCAGUGACAAAAUUGUAAAAGGAACAGAAAAUGGCACAAAACCAUUUUACUUUCUGCCAAAAAUAUGAGAUCUGCAAAUGGCAACAAAAUUAAUUCAUUUUUUUGACAAAUCUAAGAUUCUAAUCUUACAGAAGGAUCUUCUUAGAGCCACAUAUAAAUACUAUUAAAAUGCUGUUGAAAGGAACAGAUGGUAUUUUUUUCCAGAGGGUUAUCUGCAUGGGGAUGAAGUGCAGUGUUAUUAAUGGUCAUAAAAUCAUUUGCAAAUAUUUUAAAAACAAGUAUUAGCAUAUCUCGAGCUUGGCAAAUGUCCUCCUUUGCAGGAAAUUGGAUUCCGGAAAUACUUUUUCCUUGUUACUAUGUGUAACAAUGAACUUAAUGAAUUGAAUGCUUGCUCAAUUCAAUUGAAUGUUGAGGUACUGUCAAAUUGAUGAAAAGUCAGGAAACACAGAAAAUUAAUAAGAUUUUAAGGGCCUUAUACCUUUCUAAAUCAUCUUUAACAUGCAUAGCAUGCAGUGCACAUCCUGCAUUGGCACAUUUAAUACAGAUUUCAUUGAUGGAAUAAAUAAUGGAUAAUAA